AAUCAACGCUGGCGGCGUGCCUAACACAUGUAAGUCGCACGAGAAAGGGUCUUCGGAUCUGAGUAAAGUGGCGCACGGGUGAGUAACACGUGAAUUAUCUACCUUCGAGUGGGGAAUAACUUCGGGAAACCGAGGCUAAUACCGCAUAAUAUCUACGGAUCAAAGCAGUAAUGCGCUUGAAGAGGAGUUCGCGGCAGAUUAGUUAGUUGGCGGGGUAAUGGUCCACCAAGACGAUGAUCUGUAUCCGGCCUGAGAGGGCGCACGGACACACUGGAACUGAAACACGGUCCAGACUCCUACGGGAGGCAGCAGUGGGGAAUUUUGCGCAAUGGGGGAAACCCUGACGCAGCAACGCCGCGUGGAGGAUGAAGUCUCUUGGGACGUAAACUCCUUUCGAUAGGGAAGAUUAUGACGGUACCUAUAGAAGAAGCCCCGGCUAACUUCGUGCCAGCCGCCGCCGUAA
rnacentral:rRNA from 1 species